AUUUGUGAGGGUCUUAUGGGCCAAGCCGAAAUUAUGAUCGCCAGAAUGGCCGCACCCCACAAAAUUGAAGGCUGUUUUGGGCUCUAAAAUUAGUAUAUAAUGAUCAAGUUCGCUCCACAUGUUGAAUGAUUUUGAAGUUCGCUACAAAUCGCGAUACUUAAUUAAAUAGUGAUCCACUCUAACUACUGCAUUUGUUGUCACACAGGACCACGUGCUGACACAGACCAAUCAUGGGCCGACAGGAUACGAGGAGGCUCAUGCCUUCAUGCAGGCUCUUUGCAGGUGCACCUAAACGGACUCUCUCAGGCAGGAUGAAAACUACAACAUCAUGAUCCUUUGCUAGUUAUGGCCACUUUCACCAUGAUCCUUAGCAAUUUUUUGGUACCAUGCAGGCCCAUUCAACAAUAUGGCAUGCUUCAAAUUCAAAUACUUCCAGCUUCAUGCGCCAUCGGGAGUUUUUCUUAAGAAUACCUGGAUGAUGUCGCGUUACAGCAUCUCAUGGUGGACUAACUGGGAACUGGGAAAAAUACGAGGUCAAUUCAUGUCAGUGAUCUUCAUGUCGGAAAGUCAGAGCUCUAGAAAGAGGCCUGAGUUCCCGAGUUGGAAUUCCGAGUUGGAUGACCUGCACUGAAUUCGGAAGUCCGAGUUUUCCAAGUUCCCAAUUGUUUUGAACUCGACAGCUAUCUACUGGUUUUAAUGUCUAGAAAGAUUUGUAUAACUAAACAAAUAUAGACCAUAGUCUGUCCUAUCAAAUCGGAACAAAUGAGUCAUAGUGGGCAGAACAAGCAAGAUGGGCAGAGCCACGCACGAACUAGCAAGAUCCUAUUAUCGCGCUCUAACCAACAUUUGCAUAUUUCCGACAGGAACGCCAACUCUGAAGUGCGUAUGCAAUAACUUAAUUUUCCUUUGUAAGCCUUAAACAAUGCAGUUUUGUAAACAUUUGGCAUAGGGCAAAGUCUACAAAACAUAGUCCACUCUGUUCGUAACAUAUUCUAGUUUUGGGAACAGAAAACUGUGUUGAGAAAUUAAUGUUUAAUCGAUGAGAAAAUUAGCAGAAUGUCGGCCAAAAUCAAUCUUCUCCGGCCACUGGGCUUCCUAUCAAUACCAAAUUUGAUAGUGAGUGGAAACGUGAAGCGGAUGCUUCACAUUUAUACAUCGUGUGAAAUAUCUGUCUCAUUGUUAUAUCUGUGAUGUAUCUCCGACUUAAUUUGUUCAAGACAAUUGGCCACUCUGAAAAAAACGAGCUCCGACUGGGAUUCUACAUUUUUAGAACGGUCAUCCAACUCAGAAUUCCAAGUCAGGACUCUUUCUAGAGCUCCGAUUUUCCGACAUGGAGCUCACUGGUGUCAUGAUUUUAGUUCGUUUUUCCCUCAGAGUUCCCAGUUUUCUUUAAAGCACCAUUAGGCAUGAGAGCACGAGCCUCCAUGUCUGAAGGCCCGUGAUUGGUGUAUGUCAGCAUAAGCUAAUUUUAGAUCCCAAAACGGCUGUUCAAAAUAAAUGGAUUUGGCUGUUCUGGCGAUCGUAAUUUACAUAGGCUUUCUAGGGCAGACCAGGGCUUUUGGCACCGCAAGGUUGCUACGCAGUAACCGACAAGCAGAGUUCCUGACUUCACGCCUCAUACCGGACACUGGGGGACUUUGUAAUACGUGUUUGUAACAGUCGAUAACAGUGAGAAUAACCGUUUAUAGCAGUGUAAUAACUGUUUAUAACCAUGUACAGCACAUCUACCAAUGCACGGAUGCGUGUCAAGAGCCUAAAUUUGGUUUCAGAAUCCUCAGACCCCUAGCGGGGAGCAGCAUGGGGACAGUACUAUCUAGUUGAAUGGAAAUUAAACUAUUAUUCCAGAUAUUAUUUAAUGAAGAAUAUUUACAUUUCAAUCAAGAAUUCCUUUUUAACUAAUUUAUAUUUAACAUUAUUGUUUAAAACACAUUUCGAUGUCCCGUUAUUAAAACAUUUACUGAUUGUAUCUUUUAUUUCAUUUACCCACCUUGGCAGACCACUAGAACUAAAAAAUAAGCUUCAAUCCGUCCUAUGAAAAGGGGAUCAGAGAAACUGAACGCAUCUUGCAACAGGCAAAAUACACUAUAAUGUCUGAUAUUGUGGUCAAGUAAGAGGAUAACUUUUAUUUUGAAGCUAUUGCCAUUGUUAGAGCAGUCACUCGACUAUCUUGUCAAACAAUCUUUGCCCUCUUGAACAAGCUGAAAUACUUCCUGUUAGCAACCAGCUCGAGUACGUUUGUGCCUGGUUACCAAAACGGAUACGAAUGGUCUUGUUUAAAAAUAAAAAAUAAACGAAUGGUCUUGUUUUGCUGACUGUGAACGUUGUUAUGGUGUUUAAAACGAGUAUUUCUAGAAAUAAACAAGGGGACAAGCCAGCUGGCCACUUUGUGCAUACGAACUCUCUUGUUAGCGUGCAGCUAGCUAUGCUUCAAGCUAUUCACCUAACAUUUUAUAACAGUAUCUAGCUAAAUAGCUAACUUUACAGUACGUAGCAAGCUAACGUAAUGCUAGUUUUGAUUCUGUAUUUUUGCUAAUCCUCUUGACUAGCUAACAUUAUCUAAAAUGAUUUACCCUGCUUUAACGUUAGCUGACCAGUUGAUUUUAAGAUGAUCAAGCAACUUACAUUUAUUGUUGAGCACCUGAAUAAAGACCCCUUCAAGAAAAAUGUUAACCUCAUCACCUUCGACUCACUGGAGCCAAUGCAACUGCUGGAGAUUCUCAAUGAUGUUCUGGCUGAAAUUGACACUAAGUAAGCUGUUGAUAUCCGUGAAGAAAUGCCUGACCAAACAGCAAAGAGAAUGUUCACUUUGCUAAGGAUGUUGAAAUACAAACCACCUGGGAAUAUGUCUGAUCUACAGGAGUAGUUUCCGACAGGGCCUGGUGACCUGUGAUUCACCCUAUCCUUCACUGGUUGCUGCAGAGGAUCACAGAGCUGAAGAAGAGAGCUUACCUGGCUCGCUUCCUGGUUAAGCUGGAGGUGCCUGCAGAGUUCCUGCAGGGUGGUUUCAUCACUGACACCUGUCACCAGUAUGAAGAACUAAUGGAACGAUUCAAGACCUACCAUAAGGAGUGUGAGCAACUGAAGAGCUCUGGCUUUUCCACUGCAGAGAUCAGUGGAAAAGUGUGACACCUUUUCAGGACAUUGGUGCUAUGGAAGAGGAGAAGGACCAGCUGAUCAAGUGGAGUCAGGGUUCAACCACCAGCAGAUGCUGGAACUGGCCAGACAACUACUUGUGGAACAGGAGAGAGAAGAGUCUCUGGCUCAGCAGAAGAACCAACUAAUGAUAUGGCAUGUCCAACUUUCCAAUUUACAGGCUUUGUAACCCAUAUUUUCAACUUUGCUGCAUACAAAGUACACAAACUCAGCAAAAAAAGAAAUGUCCUCUCACGGUCAAAUGUGUUUAUUUUCAGCAAACUUAACGUGUAAAUAUUUGUAUGAACAUAACAAGAUUCAACAACUGAGACAUAAACUGAACAAGUUCCAC